rnacentral:rRNA from 1 species
GAUGAACGCUGGCGGCGUGCCUAAUACAUGCAAGUCGAGCGAACAGACGAGGAGCUUGCUCCUCUGACGUUAGCGGCGGACGGGUGAGUAACACGUGGAUAACCUACCUAUAAGACUGGGAUAACUUCGGGAAACCGGAGCUAAUACCGGAUAAUAUAUUGAACCGCAUGGUUCAAUAGUGAAAGACGGUUUUGCUGUCACUUAUAGAUGGAUCCGCGCCGCAUUAGCUAGUUGGUAAGGUAACGGCUUACCAAGGCGACGAUGCGUAGCCGACCUGGGAGGGUGAACGGCAACACGGGGAGUGAGAGAGGGACCAGACGGCGACGGGAGGCAGCAGGGGGGAAUCUUGCACAAGGGGCGGAAGCGUGAGGCAGAAACGCCGCGUGCGGGAUGACUGUCUGCGGGUUGGAAACCGCUGUCGCCUGUGACGAAGCGUGAGUGACGGUAAGGGGUAAAGAAGCACCGGCUAGCUACGUG